UGCAAUUCCUGGCUAUAUAUGGCACCCCCACCUUCAUACUCAAGCCAUGAAAUCCUAUAAAGAAUCCCUCUACACACUUUCCAUUUAAUUAUUGUAAAAUUCAUUAUUUAUAAUAUAUAUUAAAUAUAAUGAUAUUAAUAUGAACGUGUGAUUGGAAUGCAUACAAGGUGAACUGAACAGACAACCGAGGAAUUAAUUGAAAUAUAGUGAUGUGGUAUUGGGGGGGCACAAUGAUUGAGGCAUCUGGGAUAAAUGUAAUGAAACUACCCCCCAGGCCUUUUUAAAUGCCUUGAUAAGUACUGAAUAAUAAAUGUUGCACCUUUCUUUCUUUUUUCAAAUUCUGUCCUCUUUGUGUGUUGUUAAUUAACGAUGAUACAAGUCAAACUGAUACAUAUAUACACACACACACAUAAAGCAAAGUAUAAACGCUGAACAGCAUUAUUAUUAUGAUGCAUUAUGAGAUCAUAAAAUGGCUUCCAAACCUUUUAUGAAGGAUAUUUCUGCAUAAUCCAUAUAAUCACAUGCAUUCUAAUGCAUUCAGAAGAUAAUGCUUCAUACACAGCAAAGUGCUCCAGCACGUGAACAUGAACAGGUCCUUCAACACUAAGUGAAAGCUGCUAUUCUUUAUGAGGUAAUGAGUGAGUGUGAACGAGGAAGUGAUCUUGUGUGGUAGGUGGGCUUUGCAGAUGAAAGGAAAACAGAAUGCUGAAUUACUUCCGUUUCAGACCGGGAAAGUUCAGUCGAGCAUGUUCCAUAUGGGGACGCGUGCAAAGCUGAAAGAGGCUGAAGGUUUAGCAGCUGUGUUCCUACCCAGUUUAUCGUAAAGCAGCAGAACACCAACCUCAAAUGUUCUCAUGGGCUGAUGUCCAAGGGCAUUCUCGACAGUGUCUCAAGCCCAGAAACCCACAUGAUACAACACACACUGGUACUUACAGUGGUGUUAUACUGGCUUUGUCUGAUAAACCCCUUUAACAAUCACAUUAGAGCUUUUAGCAUGAUCGACAGAAAAAGGUUUCAAAGCCUCAAAUUAGCAAGUGCACAUAAAGAAGUAUCAGAGUUGUCUAAAAGUAACAGUUGUCAUGACAUAGUUGUGUAAGAGAAUGACUGAUAUAGAUGAUCCAUUUGCAAACUCAAGAUCAUCUUGGUUUCUUGUAAUUUGUUUCUUGAGUUUUGUUUUUCUUUCCAAACCGUUAUAUCUGUACUAGUAGAACUCCAGAAAAUCUUAUUUCAUGAUCAUGUUUUUUUUUCUGUUUUCUGAUAGUCAAAGAACCUUACUUUCACAAUUUUACACAAAUUAUAAUAAAAGUGAUGGUAAAGGCUUAAUAUCCAUGAUACAGAUGUCUUAUGUAUUUUUAUAAAUGUAGAGGAAAAACUAAAAAAUUGUGGGAACUGCUGUAAA